rfam:Glossina fuscipes fuscipes unplaced genomic scaffold Scaffold523, whole genome shotgun sequence.
AUAAUGUAGAUAAAGGAAGUCGGCAAAUUAGAUCCGUAACUUCGGAAUAAGGAUUGGUUCUGAAGAUUGAGAUAGUCGGGCUUGAUUGGGAAGCAAUAAUAUGGUUUAUGUAUUCGUUCUGGGUAAAUAGAGAUUUUCGGAUCUUGUUCCUAAGAUAGUAGUUACGUAACCUACUGUGGAACUUUCUUGCAAAAAUUUUUCAGGAAUUAUCGCAAGAUAUAUUCUUUUUUAAUUAUAACGAUGAUCAAUUAACAAUGAAUUUAGAACUGGCACAGACUUGGAGAAUCCGACUGUCUAAUUAAAACAAAUCAUUGUGAUGGCCCUAACGGGUGUUGACACAAUGUGAUUGGUUUACGUUUCAUCACUUAUCUGAUUUCCCAUUAGAUUUUUGGAACUCUUCUAUUUACUC